rnacentral:rRNA from 1 species
GUGGGGAAUUUUGGACAAUGGGCGCAAGCCUGAUCCAGCAAUGCCGCGUGCAGGAAGAAGGCCUUCGGGUUGUAAACUGCUUUUGUACGGAACGAAACGGUCCUGGUUAAUACCUGGGGCUAAUGACGGUACCGUAAGAAUAAGCACCGGCUAACGACGUGCCAGCAGCCGAGGUAAUACGUAGGGUGCGAGCGUUAAUCGGAAUUACUGGGCGUAAAGCGUGCGCAGGCGGUGCUGUAAGACAGGCGUGAAAUCCCCGGGCUCAACCUGGGAAUUGCGCUUGUGACUGCAGUGCUGGAGUACGGCAGAGGGGGAUGGAAUUCCGCGUGUAGCAGUGAAAUGCGUAGAUAUGCGGAGGAACACCGAUGGCGAAGGCAGUCCCCUGGGCCUGUACUGACGCUCAUGCACGAAAGCGUGGGGAGCAAACAGGAUUAGAUACCCUUGUAGUCC